GGGCAAGGUCUGGGACUCCUGUCCCAGAGAAGUUGAUCUAAAAAGCGCUUGGUCUCUCCUAAGGAAGAGCUGUUCUUGCUUCUGUGUGUGUGUGUGUGUGUGUGUGUGUGUUGAGAGGAUGGUAUACUGGGAGGUCCUGCUUUGGCCCAGGAGGAACUAGGAGAGAACCAUACAGAGGCUGAAGUCCUUCUUUCCCUUGAUGCUCAUGGGUAACACUCAGGCUGGGAAGAUGUAGAAGCACAUAAUGUCCUCAAGAGGAGGAAGAAAAUUUCCCACCAUUGUUCCACAGGUACAGAGACCUCUCAUUCCUUCCUGGCAGCUGGAAAAACCAAAAGCUUGACCUGAUCCAUAAGUGUAAACAGAGUUGAGAGCAGGUAAGGAAAAAAAUACGUGUAAGGAGAACCAGCAACUAGAGGACAACCAAGGACACCCAGAAGUAGUUCUCAGGAAAACAGAACUUUUAGAAAAGACAGAAGUCAACUUUGACGAAAACAACAAUAGUAGGAGCAAAAAUUCAAGGAGACUUUAUCAUAGCAUAGGAAAGAUUUUUCUAGUACCUCACCCCCCCAAAAAAAAUCAAUAUAUCAACUAAAAAUGAGAAUAAUCACUUGUUGAGAACCAAAUUAGCAGCAUAGGAAAUCAAACAGAAGAAAUAUUUUAAAAUAGAGCAGAAAUAUAAAGUAAUUAAAAUGAAAAUUGUGGCUCUUCUCCCAAAAAUAUAUCUGAAAAUAAAGCUAUAUCUGAAAAUAAAAUUUUGUGUAAACUUUCAAGGAUUUGCAGAUGCACCUAAAGUAUAUCUGUGGACCCUAUGACAUAAAAAUGCAACUGAAGAUGAAAAUCCAGUUUAAAACAUGGUUUUAACUUAAAAAAUAAACGAGUCUGUCUAAGCAUCAGGAUGUCUCUCGUUACCCAAAAGCUCUCUCCAGGCCGUCGGUCUGCUCUUGCCCGGACCCUCAGACCUAUCCCUUCUGACAAUGGCCAAGAGUGGUGGGGACUGCAUUUACUGUUGGGUCCGUUAUAAGUAAGCAGGCUUCCCCACUGGAGAGCGGGGUGUAGAGAAGCUCUCCUGUCUUUUCUGAGAGGCCUUGGAGAACACUGCCCCCCGGCCUUUCGGCUGCUUUCCUGCCUCUCACUCCCCAGUCGUCUCAUCCGACAUGGCAGCACCCACAGUUGCCCCGACAGUUAGAUGAGUCUUUGCGAGGAAGGGCCUGAGUCGCCCUCCCCUCCACGUCACAUCUGUGUCUGCGCAUUCUCCGUAAAUCCUCCAUCAUCUAUACUUCCGCCUUCCAUCGUGGCUUUCCUGCAAGCAGUUUACUGAAGAAUUCUAUAGAGAUUUGUAAUUAAAGUUGCAUCCAUGUGGCACAGCUGAGAUUCAAACUCUGACUUCAAAUCCAGGAAUUUCAGACAUCAGCAAGCAGAUCAGGAGAUACUUUGCCGACAGACAAGGUCUACCAGAAAGACGCUUCUGAAGCCAUUCUUCCUUAUUUCUUCUAAUGCCGUUUCCAGGAGGGGUUCAGUUGAAGAUAACAGAAACCACUCUCGUCAGGAUAAGCAGAAAGGGAUUUAUCACCAGUUCUGAAGACUGGGAAAGCCAAGAUCAAGGUGUCAGGAGAUCCAGUGUCUGAAGAACCUCAAGAAAAAACCAUGCUGUUUCUUUCAAUGAUGAUCUAGUCUGGUGGAAACUGAACUUGCCACCUGAUAUCCCCACCGUCCGUGUAAGCGUUGUCCCUGAAGUACUUGAGGGCUCCCAAGGUGCCUGCCCUCCUCCUGCUUCGCCAGGGGUCCUCGGAACAAGUGCCCUAUUUCGUCUCCAUGGUACGACCUGCGAAACGGAGGUUACACAUUGGUUUUACACGUUGAGAAGGAGUGGUUGUGAAGGAGGAGGAAAAGGAAGGGAGAGCAGGGGGCAGAGAGAAGACAAAGGUUUGGGCCCUGCAGCCUGACGUGGGUCAGCAAGUGCUCUCGCCCAGGCCUCUGCCCCGGGAGCUGGACCCACGGCCAGGAUCUUGUCCCUGCAAGGCCAGCGUGCCCCGAAACCUGGCCUGAGGAGGACAUCAAUGGAAAUUCACACAACAGGAUGGUAAACAUGAUACAAGAAAGACUACAUCUUAGGGUGUGGCUGAACCACCUGAGGGAACGAGCCUGGAUCCUUGAAUCACUGCAUGGGCAGAGAAGAAGGCACUUCCAGACAUGAAUACCCUGUGGCCUCAUAUGUGCAUAAGAGAGAAACCUGUGUUCUGUUCAGCCGCUGAAAUUUGAAGAUUUACUUAUUACAGCAGCAAAAAUUAUUCUAGUGCAUACACUCCCGUACCUACUUUGUGCUUCAGCAGUAACAACCGAUGUGCAAUUUCCCAGGUCAGCUGUGCAGCACUUCCACGUGUUUCUGCACGCUGAUCUCUCUGCUUUUGAUACCUAAUUUUCUCCAGUCUCCUAAUUCUAUCUAGUCUCUCUCCUUUCUGACCCUUUGGCCUUGAUCAGCUUGUAUUAAUCCUUAAAAUCCCAGUUCCUAAGCUUCUGUGAAGCACUGUUAUGACAGUGGGCCCCAUUCCUGCCAUGGACUUCCUGAGUUUGUCCAGAAUUCCACUUUAGCACAUGUCACAAUAUUUUAAAAUUCUCUGUUUAUAAAUAUGUCAACCUUACAACAUAGACAUUUGCCGUGUUUCUACACUUCAAAUCUCUUAGAAGAGUGGUGCUACAUAAGA
rnacentral:lncRNA from 1 species